rnacentral:lncRNA from 1 species
CGGCCUGCUGUAGAUUAAUUGAAGGUCUGACCGGAGCAUGCACAGCAAAUCAAGACCCAGCAUGGAGCGCGUUCCUUGUUGCAUGGGGCUGCAUGGGGCUCAUAUAUUUCUAGUUCACUUCUUCACUUCUCUUCAAGCAACCUGUCUUUGUCACAUGUAGCUACGUACCUAUCGUUCAGCACCAUGUAGAGACUUCGUGGUCCUCUGCCAGUCGGCAAUGGACUUGCUUUCAAAGUUGGCGCUCAAGUCUACAGGGCGAGUCUUCAAGUCCUGCUAAGCCCUGGCAUCAAUCUUUGGAAGGUAUUUUAUGAGCUGCUGGUGCUGGGGCUGGGCUGCGCUGUCGCAGGGGGUGUCGGACCCUCGUUGACCGGGUCUACAACUAAGCCAGGUCUUGACGCUGCUGUUACAGGAUGUAAAUCAAGCAUCAGAGACCAAGUCUGGAAUCAACAGUGCCAGGUGAGGCAGGUCAGGACACAAAGCGACAGCCAUUUCAAGGGGUCGACAAGCGACAACAAAUUCAGGGGGUCAAGCGAGCUAGCAUCCAUGCGCAGUAUGGACGAAGUUGUAAGAGCAUAAGCAGAGAUGCAGAGUGUGAAGCUCCCCCCUCCCCCUCCCCUUGUCCCCUCAGGUCCGGCACUGGAAUUCGACUCGGGGCGCAGCGCGCGUAAAUGCGUGGCCCUUCUAACCCUCACCAGGCAAGUUUGAUCGGAAAUUGCUACACAACUCAUAAUAGGAUGAAUGAUAGGAUUUGAAUGACGUACAUGGGAAGUUAGUUCUAGGGGACCGAAUGCGGUCUAGGCCCUGCGUGUACCUAGUACCACCAUGCACUGACCAACUUACCCCAAACACCAUGCAGGCCGAGCUCAAGUACGGAGGCGGCUAGCGGCAAGCGGCAGACUUCAGGUGGCGGCAGCGGAAUUGGCAGGCGGCGCUGUGCGCGCAUGGUGUUAUGGUGUGAUCGGCGGGUGGCUGGGUGUGUGAUGGGACAGGGUUCAGGCAGGUUGGCGAGGUCCCAUAGGGUGCAGCUGACGCCCAUACCCCAAGCAGACAGCAAACAGUUUGCAGCGGCAGAGCAGGAGUGCAUGGCUGGUCGAACGCCGGAGUUACUGUACCGACAAGUUGCUGGCUGGCUGGAAGUUUGCUGAUGCGCAUUCCUCACGCUCCGGGCGCCCGGGUGGCUGGGUGUAGUGCUGGCAGGGGAUCCGUAUCGGUUGCCUUCACACUUGCCUCGAGACCCUGAGUAUGCCUGGUCUGUACGUUAAGUGUUUUGUAGCAAUCGUAGGCCUUGCAGAAUGUGUGCGUGCAGCACGUGGUGGGUUGCGGGUCGUGUGGACGGAGCGGGCGGGAGAGCCGUGCGGACUUGCACCAUUUUGGCACACCACGACACCAGUACGAGGGGCACGUGUCGGAGCGCAGAUGCAUGAACUGUAACACAUCAAGAGAGCUGCAGGUGCCUCAUGUGCCCCAUUAUAUGUGCCGUGCGGGACGCGCACAGUAUCGGGCGGGACGCACACAGCGCCGGGUGGCAGCUUGCUUUAGGUAAAGCACAGGCGGGACGCAUGCGUGAGACAAUGCGUAGAGCUCUAAGCAACCGGCAUUUUUGCUUUAUUUGUGCUUAAUCGUGCGUAUGCUAAGCAUGCAUACGCAUGCGUGCCAGCCAGAGGGGAGCGGCGCGGCAAGUCCUGG